rnacentral:rRNA from 1 species
UACGUAGGGUGCAAGCGUUGUCCGGAAUUAUUGGGCGUAAAGAGCUCGUAGGCGGUUUGUCGCGUCUGCUGUGAAAACUCGGGGCUUAACCCCGGGCCUGCAGUGGGUACGGGCAGACUAGAGUGCGGUAGGGGAGACUGGAAUUCCUGGUGUAGCGGUGAAAUGCGCAGAUAUCAGGAGGAACAUCCGUGGCGAAGGCGGCUCUCUGGGACGGUACUGACGCUGAGACGCGAAAGCGUGGGGAGCGAACAGG